rnacentral:rRNA from 1 species
UGGCGGCGUGCCUAACACAUGCAAGUCGAACGGAGACUUUCGAAGAGUUUACUUAGAGAAAGUCUUAGUGGCGGACGGGUGAGUAACGCGUGGGUAACCUACCCAUAAAGCCGGGACAACCCUUGGAAACNAGGGCUAAUACCGGAUAAUCUUAGGGCCUGGCAUCAGCUUUAAGGAAAGAUGGCCUCUGAAUAUGCUAUCGAUUAUGGAUGGACCCGCGUCUGAUUAGCUGGUUGGUGGGGUAAAGGCCCACCAAGGCGACGAUCAGUAGCCGGCCUGAGAGGGUGAACGGCCACACUGGGACUGAGACACGGCCNAGACUCCUACGGGAGGCAGCAGUGGGGAAUCUUCCGNNAUGGACGAAAGUCUGACGGAGCAACGNNGCGUGUAUGAUGAAGGUCUUCGGAUUCUAAAGUACUGUCUUUGGGGAAGAACAAUUAACUUGAAAAUAUUGAGUUAGUAUGACGGUACCCAAGGAGGAAGCCCCGGCUAACUACGUGCCAGCAGCCGCGGUAAUACGUAGGGGGCAAGCGUUGUCCGGAAUUAUUGGGCGUAAAGGGGCCGUAGGCGGNUUUUUAAGUCUGGUGUGAAAGAUCAGGGCUCANCCCUGAGAGUGCAUCGGAAACUGGAGAUCUUGAGGACAGGAGAGGAAAGUGGAAUUCCACGUGUAGCGGUGAAAUGCGUAGAUAUGUGGAGGAACACCAGUGGCGAAGGCGACUUUCUGGACUGUAACUGACGCUGAGGGCGAAAGCGUGGGGAGCAAACAGGAUUAGAUACCCUGGUAGUCCACGCCGUAAACGAUGAGUGCUAGGUGUAGAGGGUAUCGACCCCUUCUGUGCCGCAGUUAACACAAUAAGCACUCCGC